AUAAGGUCGGGAACCGGAAGAGUCCUGGGAGGGUUGGCCUCUUACGAACUUUGGCUGGGGUUAUUUUAUACCCAACACAUCUCAUGUAUUAAAAUCUAAUCUAAUUAGCAUGCUUUCAGAUCUGAUACAUCACAUAUAACAUCUGAAAAAUAAGAUUUAAAUUGAACUAUUCAAUAUAAAAUUUAUUCUAGACAGUUACUAGAACAAUUCUACAACUAGUCUAGGCAUGCAAC
rnacentral:lncRNA from 1 species